rnacentral:rRNA from 1 species
GACGAACGCUGGCGGCGUGCUUAACACAUGCAAGUCGAACGGACAGGCCCUGCUUUUGUGGGGUGCUCGAGUGGCGAACGGGUGAGUAACACGUGAGUAACCUGCCCUUGACUUUGGGAUAACUUCAGGAAACUGGGGCUAAUACCGGAUAGGAGCUCCUGCUGCAUGGUGGGGGUUGGAAAGUUUCGGCGGUUGGGGAUGGACUCGCGGCUUCUCCGCUUGUUGGUGGGGUAGUGGCUUACCAAGGCGUUGACGGGUAGCCGGCCUGAGAGGGUGACCAGGCACAUUGGGACUGAGAUACGGCCCAGUCUCCUACGGGAGGCAGCAGUGGAGAAUAUUGCGCAGUGGCCGGAAGCCUGAUGCAGCGACGCUGCGUGCGGGAUGACGGCCUUCGGGUUGUAAACCGCUUUCGCCUGAGACGAAGAGUGAUUGACGGUAAUGGGUAAAAAAGCACCGGCUAACUACGUG